GUGUGCACUCCAUACAUCGAUAGCGCACGCGCACCGACCAUCCUCUCCGCAUCACUUGCUGUCUUUGCCUUACGACCCUGGGGGAGUCGAGGCCAGUUGAGCCUGGGGCGGGCACGAGGACCACCGACCGAGCGAAACGACAUCAACAACCUACACGCACCCCCCCCCCCAACACACACACACAUACACACGCAAGCGCAGCUGCGCACGGAUGCGUGCUUUUCGUUCUCCACGAAGCCCGGUCUCUCGCCGCCUCUGGCAGCUUGUCGCUGCAGCCGUGACUGAACUGCGCUGCUCCAAAGCCGCUUUUUUCAAAGGCGGGUGGUGGGGUGGGCGAGCGGGGAGGUCGGCAGUGGUGUGUCUUGUUCUCACGCUACGGCUUGUGGUGUGAUGCUUACUCGUCGCCAGGCGCGGCUCUUGGGCCUCACGAGCGCCGAGGAUGGUGGCGCUUCAGGCAGCAGCACAAGCUCUGCAGCGCAAUCCCCGACCGGUGUCGCCGCGAGCGGUUUGCCGCGGGUUUCAGGUUACUCAAUUGCCUGUGAGGCGAUUUCGGCGACAUCCGCGAAGCCAAGUGAUCCGCGGCCCUUUAUUCGGCGCUUGAGCGCGACCGCCACAUCUUCAUUCUCUGCUUCCACUGCUGCACGCGGGUACCGCACAAACUCGUUCUUUGAACCUUCUUCUUCCGCCUCGAAGGUUUCACUGCACGCGAAUGGUGACAGUGGAGGCUGUGGUGGUGGCGGCCGCGCGCGUCUCGAGGCUCGGUACACGGACGCGCUGCUGUCUAAGGCGCAGGCGGCAAUUGACUAUUGGGCAGCAACGAGCACCACAGCUGGUCCUUCUAUCCGCUUCACGAAGGACUUAACUUCGCCGUGGCGCGCGCUGUACGCGUCUUCUGCGAAGUCAGCCGUACACGUGACAGACAGCUUUGGCGCCACUGCGAAAUCAGCGGAGGGCUCGAGCUUGGCAGGCUGUUCUGCACGCCUGACCGCGGCCCAGUUGCGCGUGCGAUGGCGCGGAGUUACACGGAACUGCAGCUCUCCUCGUGCCUCAGCGAAAAGCAUCAAUGAUGCGCACACCGCGCAGCUCUCGAUCGCAGCUUGCCCGGCAUCCACACCACCCAGCACCGAGCUCACGGUUGAAGCACAGGGGGGCAUUGUCACGAGCGGCGGCGAUUCUACUGGGGUGGCGCAGCAGACCAAUCGGGCACUUGCGCCACUCAAUGUCGUGUCUCGCCGCAGCCUCGCGCUCUUCACGUCUCCGUUUUACGCCGAUGUUGCCGCGCCUACUCUUUCUGCGUCAGCUGCAGCUCUGGGUGCGACGGAGGCGGGGGCAUUGUUGCCUGUAAUGCACCAGAUCCCGACUCAACGCGCCGCCACAACGGUGCUCGCACUCCAUCAGCGCAAGGAGGGCGUGUGCGCGCAGCGUCAGCGCCGCAUCUGCCGCGGAGUGCGCAACCAAGUGUGCAUGAAAGCACACGAGGCGCGCAUGCGGCUGCUUUUCGGUCUAUCCGGCACCGAUAGUCGCGCAGCCACGACGGCGCGAUCGGCGCCUUCAAAAACGGCGCUCGGCGGGGACCACAUCGCCGCUGGCGAGGAGACCUACCUGCAGAGCCUCAACCCGAGCAAGUCGGAUGAGGAGACGAAGGUGCUGCGCGUGGUCGCGGUCAUAGACGCGGCACUGCGACGGCAUCUCGCUUCCGCAUACACACACGCGUAUCCACAUUCUCGCUGCCGAUGAACCGCCAGCUGGAGAGAGAGCUCCGCACUUUUCGCCCCGUGCUCAUCAUCGCCCCUCUCAGUACUCUUCCACAUUGGGCCGGCGAGCUCCAGUUCUUCAGCCGGCGCCACACCGCUGCUGCAGUGUCACCGUGCCCAGGGGGCGUCGACGCUGCGGAGCGCUUUACCGUUUACGUGCUGAACGGCCCACGCUCGGAGCGGGAGUCUCGCAUGGGCGAGUUCCUCGCUCACGUUGAGCGACUUACGCAGCGGCCUCCGACACCCGGCGGCGCCUCCCGCGCCACACCCGCCACCCCUGUCGUGGUAAUCCCCCACGAUAUGCUGACAAAGCCUCCCAGCGGGGCUCUGCGGCAGACCAGCCGCGUGGACUGGCAUGUUGUGGCCAUCGAUGAGACCCAGCGCAUUAAGUGCGCUCGCAGUGUCCUCUUCAAGAAGGUGUGCGAGUUGCACUCUGUGUCGCGGCUUGUCUUGACGGGCACACCGUUGCAGAAAAACACGAUGGAGCUCUUCUCGCUCCUGCGCUUUUUGGCUCCGAACACGUUCGUGCCGAGUGAGUUGUUUGAACAGCUGGAUAGCGCACUGCUCGCUGCGAGUCGGUCGAGCGCGCUGGAGGGUCGCGAGCUGCACAACCUCCUGUGCCGCCGUGUUCAUCGACUUCUGAUGCCGUUCAUCUUGCGGCGGGAGAGGAGCAUCCUCAAGACGGCGCUGCCGCCCAUCCGAGACUACGCUGUGCUGUGCCCACUGCUCCCCUUUCAGAGCGCGCAGUUGAAGGAGGCGGAGCGGAAGCACCACGCCGGCACUCUCUCAGGUAAUCCAAUAUCCAGUACAGCAAGAUCCUGUUGCACCCGUACACAACGCAGUCGCUCUUUUACGUGGAUGAGGAGGUGGUGUACACGUCAGGAAAGCUGCUCGUGCUGGACUUCAUGAUGCGCUUUCUGCAGCGCACACAUCACAAGUUCCUGGUGCUCUGCGGAUGGACGCUGGUUUGCAUAUUGUGGAGACGCUGUGCGGCAUGCGCGGCAUCCCGUACGUGCGGCUGGACGACAGGACUACAGUCCAACAGCGGGAGGCAAACAUACAGGGCUUCAACAGCUCCGUGGCCAGCGGAAACGGCGUGGCGGAGGAAGCGGGUGGCGGCGGCGGUGAUGCGGAAGGCGACCCCGCAACUUCUCGACAGCGCCGCCACAGCCUUCAGCACGCCAGCACCGACACGACAGGCAGGCCAUCACCGAACGCGGAUGGCCAAUGCGAUGAGGAAGACGGCUCGUCGCUGCCGCUGGCAGCGCCGUGCUGCUUCCUGAUCAGCAAAGUCGCCGGCGGUGUAGGGCUGAACCUGCAGGCGGCGGACACCGUCUUUCUGCUGGAUGUGGACUACAAUCCGCAGCGGGACGCGCAGGCGCUCUCGCGGGUGUAUCGAGUGGGACAGACCAAGGAGGUGCGCGUCUUCCGCCUCAUCAUCGACCACGCCACCGAGCACGACAUCGUCGCCAUCCACGAGGCCAAGGAUGACCUAGGACGCGCUGUGGUGCAGGCCGGCUGCUACGAUCUCCACUCCUCCGUGCACGAGCGCGAGGCGGCGCUGCAGGGUAUCUUUCGGGCUGGAGCGCUUUCCCGGCUGAGUCAGCAGUGGGCCACAGCGACGCGGACGUCAGACGGCACGCAAGGUGACAGCGGCGAGGAGGAGAGGGAGGAGGCAGUGCCGAGCCAGUGCGCGUCGUUCCCGCCGAUUCCCUUUCCGAGGUGUGAUUUGAAUGGCGAGGGCGGCGCCGAUGGUGACGCAGAGGGGGCCAGCGAGACGUCGCGAAGCUCGGCGCAGACGCCGACGGACUUGCAUCGUGUCUUCAGCGGCGGCAGCGGCGGGGUGCCGGCAACGUCGUCUGCUCCGGGGAAGCAGGUGAAGGCCGAGAUGGAGGACAAAGGAGGCGGGCGGCUGGUGGACGCGGCGGACGGUGGGAUCUCUGUCACUGUGGCAGGGAAUGUCGACCCGCAGUGUGCACUGCUGCUGCACCGCCGAGGCCGUCGCCACAUAUCGUUUAAACUGGAAAGGGACUACAGCGAGGAGGGCGGCGGCAGGGCGGAUCGCGGUGGCCCGGCAGCUGCACCUGCCGGAAGCUCAAAGAAACUCGCCAAUCCUGCGACGGCACCGCUGCUUUUCGCUGCUACCCCGCCACACCUCAGCAUGAAGGCCGCGGAGGUGAAUGAGGCAGCAGCGGCUGCGACGACACGUGUACUGGCGCCGGCCGAACACCUUCUUGCGAUGUGUGAGCGACUGGAGGAGGUGCUGCUGCGCCACGAAGGCGAGCGGCAUGUGCUGGAGGACAUGCUCCGCUCAGUGUAAGGCUGGCUGAGGCCGGGACCUCGGUAGUGGCGUGUCUUGAGGCGUUGUGUUCGACACGAAUCAAAUGGCGAAGUGUGUGUGCGUGUGUGUGUGUGGGGGGGGGGUGCGGCGGCGGCUCUCGUGGAUGUUGAUGGGGGCCGUCGGGUACGCGAUUGUGGUGGUGACGGCGGUGUUUGCAGCUUUGAUGAAUGAGAGCGCGCGCGCGCUCUCUUGUCCCUGUCGUUUCUGUUUGGCCGUGGACUUUAGUUUUCUGUUUGCGGGUGCACGUGUGUGCGUACGUGCGUGUGUGCGUAACAUGUGGGUGUGCAGAGCUGGAG
rnacentral:misc_RNA from 1 species